GACGAACGCUGGCGGCGUGCUUAACACAUGCAAGUCGAACGAUGAACCGGUUUCGGCCGGGGAUUAGUGGCGAACGGGUGAGUAACACGUGGGCAAUCUGCCCUGCACUCUGGGAUAAGCCCGGGAAACUGGGUCUAAUACCGGAUACGACACUCCGAGGCAUCUUGGGGUGUGGAAAGUUCCGGCGGUGCAGGAUGAGCCCGCGGCCUAUCAGCUUGUUGGUGGGGUAAUGGCCUACCAAGGCGACGACGGGUAGCCGGCCUGAGAGGGUGACCGGCCACACUGGGACUGGGACACGGCCCAGACUCCUACGGGAGGCAGCAGUGGGGAAUAUUGCACAAUGGGCGAAAGCCUGAUGCAGCGACGCCGCGUGAGGGAUGACGGCCUUCGGGUUGUAAACCUCUUUCAGCAGGGAAGAAGCGAAAGUGACGGUACCUGCAGAAGAAGCACCGGCUAACUACGUG
rnacentral:rRNA from 1 species